UACGAAGGGGGAUAGCGUUGUUCGGAAUUACUGGGCGUAAAGCGUGCGCAGGCGGCUUCUCAAGUCAGGGGUGAAAGCCCAGAGCUCAACUCUGGAAUUGCCUUUGAGACUGAGUGGCUUGAGUACGAGAGAGGUGAGUGGAAUUCCCAGUGUAGAGGUGAAAUUCGUAGAUAUUGGGAAGAACACCGGUGGCGAAGGCGGCUCACUGGCUCGUACCUGACGCUCAUGCACGACAGCGUGGGGAUCAAACAGG
rnacentral:rRNA from 1 species